GAUGAAGAACGCAGCGAAAUGCGAUACGUAAUGUGAAUUGUAGAAUUCAGUGAAUCAUCGAAUCUUUGAACGCAUAUUGCGCUCUCUGGUAUUCCGGAGAGCAUGCUUGUUUGAGUAUCAGUAAACACCUCAACUUCCAUAUCUUUUUUGAAAUGGGAGUUGGACUUGAGUGAUCCCAACGCUUUUCCUCACCGAAAAGUGGCGGGUUACUUGAAAUGCAGGUGCAGCUGGACUUUUCUCUGAGCUAUAAGCAUAUCUAUUUAGUCUGCCUAAAAAACAGAUUAUUACCUUUGCUGCAGCUAACAUAAAGGAGAUUAGUUCUUGUGCUGACUGAUGCAGGAUUCACAAAGACGGCUUCGGCCGACUUUGUAAACUCGAUCUCAAAUCAAGUAAGACUACCCGCUGAACUUAAGCAUAUCAAUAAGCGGAGGA
rnacentral:misc_RNA from 1 species